rnacentral:lncRNA from 13 species
AUGCCACCACCCCUCUGCCAGCCGGGAAUUGGGAUUCCCCAGGGUUAUUCCCGGUCCCCACCAUUCCCACUCCCCUCUACCCACGGAUCACACAGGGACAGGGACACUCCAGCCCCCUCCCCAGGGUGCUACCCAUCACUUCCCGGUUCGGGGGCAGCUCUAGACCUCACGGAAUGUGGAGCCACUCUCUUCUCCACCAGCCCCUUGCACAACCCCAGACUGUCCCGGUGCCGUCGCAGCCCUGAACCGCAGUUCUGGGCGCCCGGCAGGCAGCCAGCUCCAUCCGGGACAAAAGCAAACUCCGGUCACCGCGAGGACUUUCCCCGUGGCAGCCGCUCCUGGUUGUGCCCGGGCCAUGCUGAGAGCGUGGGAUCUGCCCCUCCGCCAUCGCCCCACGCCGCCAUGACUCACUCCCACGCGUGUCCCGGCGAGCAGAGCCGGGAGAGGGUGGCACGGGGGGUCCCCUCGGCGCUCCCACAGCCCCUCGCGGGACGUUCCUCUCUCGUGGGGGGCUGUGGGGACGUCUUCAGGACCCGCGUGGGAGCCCAGGACACACAGCGCCAGUUGGCGUGUCCCCACGCAUCUGGCAGGGAGCCCAGGGGGCAUCGGCACAGCCCGAGGGUGGAAGCACCUCGGGCAGCAACCCCCGGCUGGGAGAAUUCCACGGCUGCGGGGGACACACGCACCCCCACCUCAGGUCCUGCCCGGGACGAGCAAGAACUCGGCAACCCCACGGGGCGUCCUGAACACGCGAGGAGCUCCCAGCCUCUCCAGACCACAGCCCCACGUGCUGCUGGGGACAUGGGGGGGGACCCAGCACGCCCCCACCUCUCAGCCCCCCGCGCUGCUCUGGGGGUCCCGCACUCCCAGGGGGUCCCAGCCCACGCGGUGCCCCCUCACGACCCCACCACGCCCCCACCCCUCACCAUGGCCGCUCGCUGCCCGAACCGUUACGAAGCCGUCGAGGAGGGAGGCGGGGGUCGCCCCGUAGGGCCCCCGAGAUAUACCCCGGGGGGC